UACGUAGGGGGCUAGCGUUGUCCGGAAUCAUUGGGCGUAAAGCGCGUGUAGGCGGUCCGGUAAGUCCGCUGUGAAAGUCGGGGGCUCAACCCUCGAAUGCCGGUGGAUACUGUCGGGCUAGAGUGCGGAAGAGGCGAGUGGAAUUCCUGGUGUAGCGGUGAAAUGCGCAGAUAUCAGGAGGAACACCAGUGGCGAAGGCGGCUCACUGGCCCGGUACUGACGCUGAGGUGCGAAAGCGUGGGGAGCAAACAGG
rnacentral:rRNA from 1 species